rnacentral:tRNA from 2 species
GGACUUGUAGCUCAGUUGGCAGAGCACCGGACAUCUAAUCCGGGGGGCGAUGGUUCGAACCCAUCCGAGUCCACCA